CAUCAUCAAUUUUUUUGUACAAAAUUAAAGAAAAAUUUAGUAUGGCAUGUUGGUGGGGCCAAAUUCAACUAUUAUAUAUAUUUUAAGUCAAAACUCUCUCUCUUUCUCUCCAGCUCCCCCAGUUCAGCUCUCAGCUGGUCCCGGACAGUCCCCGACUUCCCCUCGACUAAAAAAAAAUCCUAGCACGCCUCUCCAACCAAGGAUAAAAAGAAAAAAACCCUAGCUCCUAGCUACACACACACACCCGCAGCUCUCUUUCUUUCCUCUCAGCCGCAACUCUCCCUACCUUCCUCUCAGCUGGCCCCAAGUCCCUCAGCUCCUUCGGAUUGCUCCCUGCUCAGGGACACACUUAGGAACCCUCACCUGGGACCAAGAAAAAAACCACCAGUUCGAUUCCUCUCGGCCUGCUCACUCCCACAGCACAGGUACGGGACCAUUAAAACUCCUCCCAAGCUCCCACUGGUCCGAAGGCCCUCAGUCACCCUCACCUCAGCUCCUCUCGAGGACCCCGCGGACACUCCAGCUUCCAGACACCUUCAACUCACGGGCUUCACCUCAGCUUGCCUUCCUUAGCUCGAGCGAAACUCAUCUCCUCUACUCCCUCAGCUCACAACCACCCGAGGGAGAAGUCCAUUGACCGCCUCCAACACUCCUUAAGCUUGGCAACCCGUGACCCCAUCUCUGCUUCCGUUUGGUCCAGCAACCUCUCAAGGGUUUUGGCCAUUGCAACUCUGUUUCAAGCCUUGCGCAGGGGCCUUCGGUGCUCGAAACUCUCGGGCGUGCCUCCCCCGUCCACUCGAGCCACCUGAGUCGGUCAACUCUCUUCUUGGGCGUUCUUCCCUCAAGUCGGGUCUGCCAAACCGAACUGGGUACCCGACCCUCUACCAUCCGACCCGACCUCCAAAUUUUCAUUUCCCUGAGGCUAGGUAUGAUACUUGACCUUAGUAUCAUGAUUAGGGCCUCAUUUCCCUAUUAAGUUUUAUUUAAAUGAUGUAAUGUGAAGUAAACGUUCGUGAGUUAAACCAAAAACCCGGUUUUAUGAACUUUUCAAGUUGUUUCAAUUCAGUCCUUACGGCUAUUUUCAAUUUUUCGGUCAGCCCUAAAUUUUCGAAUUUGUUUCAAUCAAGUCCUGGGCCACUUUUAACACUUUUCAGUUCAACCACAGAAUUUUCAGACGAUUUAAACCAGACGGAAAUAUUUUAAAUUUGUUUCAGUUCAGUCCCUGUGACAUUUUUCACUUUUUCAGAUCAGUCGCGAACUUUAAUAUUUGUUUCAAUCAAGCCCCGGGCCAUUUUCAACAUUUUCAGUUCAGCCAUAGAAAUUUCUGAUGAUUUUAACCGGUCCAGAAAACUUUUAAAUUUAUUUCAGUUCAGUCCCUGUGACAUUUUUUCGCUUUUUUUAGAUCAGCCCCAAACUUUCAAAUCUGUUUCAAUCAGGUCCCAUGCCAUUUUUAAUUCCCAGUCAGCCACAGAACUUUUCAAACGUUCCAGAGUAGUCCCGGGAACUUUUCAAGUUGUCUCAAAUCAAUCCCCGGAAUUUUUAGCCGAAUUUCCAAAUUAGUCUCUGUUCUUUCAAAAUUAUUUUAAUUUGAUUCUUGAGCAAUUUAUGAGAUGUGUGUUAUGAUCAUGAGUGAUAUAUGAUCAUAUGCGACCGUAUUUCAUGUUUGGUUUUGAUUGGAUGAUAAAUUAUAAGUUAAAUGCGUUAGAUUUAAAUAAAUCGCUUCAUAGACCCAUAGUUUCUAAGGCAAAGAAUAUAUCAAAACGGUUUAAUUAAUCACUUGGAAUUAAAACCGACGAAUUAAUUUUAUUGUGAUCAUUUUGCCAAUAUUUGUGUGCUUGGAAUGUUUGAAUGUGUCUUUGAUUAAAAUUUUACAUGAAUCGGUUUAAUCAUGUAAAGUUGAUUAAAAAGUGGAUUUAACCCCAAGACGUUCAGGAAUUAGAGUUUUCUAGGGGCGGUCCACCAAUGACCGUCCCGGCAACUCGAAACCCAGAAACUAAAGCGUUUGGAAAAUUUUUAAUUAACUUAAAAUUUCACAUACGGGGCAAUCAUGACGUUAAACUUGGCUAAAACGAAUCACUCGAUUCUUUAAAAUGAAUUGCACGAACCGGUCAAUAAUCUGUAAUCGCGUCGAUAGUUCAAAAACUGUUGGCCAUGCCCCUUUUUAAAAUCCACAAUUUCAAAAAUACCGAGAUACGUGUCACGCGUAGCAUGGAUAUCCAGGGAGUACUCGUAUAUCUUGACUUAAGUCUAAGCCUAAUUUGAGGCGGCUCAAAUCAAGGUACACAAGUCCUUUUUGGACCACUUCCGGGCGGAGAGACCGGUCUCUCGGCUCUUUCGGGGUCUUCACAACCCCGAUGGAUCCAAGGGAUUGGUCUACACCGGCUAUUGACUUUCGAUAGUCCGUGUCACGUAAUCUUGAUUUUUCAUACACACACAUAUUUUUCAGUUCAAGGGCAUGACUACCGGUUCUUGACCCGCCAACACCCUAGCGGUGUUUCGUGCUUCCAUUUCCCUAAGUUUGUGUUUAGAACGGGUUAAAAUACGAAAAAUAGAUUAAUCUCAAACUCGGUUUAACCAAACAUGGACAAAUAGUCAAGCAAAGGGCUAGGUUUCGGAUUUUAGGUGAAAACACUCUUAAUCUAUAAAAGCCACAUUGUCACGAUAUAGAAUAAUUUAAAAACAACCCACACAUUUGAGACUUGAUUACAGACAUCGUGCUUGUCGGGUCUACUAAAAUAACGCCGAAUGCUAUAUGCCCUCUCCAUCACCGCUUUUGUCUGUUUUAAGGUAGGAUUUACAUGUUAAGAUAUCCCGGUUAAUAAUCGGUUAACUUACGUAAAUUCGGUAAUAACAAAACCCAAUUGUUUGUUUA